rnacentral:rRNA from 1 species
UACGUAGGGUGCGAGCGUUGUCCGGAUUUAUUGGGCGUAAAGAGCUCGUAGGCGGUCUGUCGCGUCGGAUGUGAAAACCCAGGGCUCAACCCUGGGCCUGCAUUCGAUACGGGCAGACUAGAGUACGGCAGGGGAGACUGGAAUUCCUGGUGUAGCGGUGAAAUGCGCAGAUAUCAGGAGGAACACCGGUGGCGAAGGCGGGUCUCUGGGCCGAAACUGACGCUGAGGAGCGAAAGCGUAGGGAGCGAACAGG